CUGCUCUACUGAACCCAGCCCUUUUGUCAAGAGUUCAGUCCAGUCUAGCCGCUCCAGUGCUACAGGUGCACCACCCACACCCAUUGAUUCGUAUGCAGGUCAAAGGUCACCCAGGCCUGCUGCCUGACCAAACCUGCCUCCAGUCUCCUGUGUGUUUGGACGCGCUCUCAGCGGGCGCACUUGUUCCAGUCCGUGGCCAUCUGUGUCCGAGCCCAAACGGAAGGUGUCAGGAAGUCAGACCACAACAAUAAAGGCCCAGAGGGAGGCAGACAGAGAGGUUGAGCUGUGAGCACUCUGACAGGAGACGGGAAGAGGAAACACAUGGCACAGAGAGCAGAGGCUGGGAGGUGGGCCUGUGGCCACGGCACAAAUACUUUCCAGCGCUGAAGGCCAGCAGAGGCUCCUCCUGUCCACACAGGCCUGCAGGAAGCCCUCCACUCCACUGCCACUAGCCCUGCCACCCGAAGACCAGUGUUCAACUUCUAUUGCCAUUAUCACUACCACUAGCGCUGCCACUCUACUGCCAUCAGCACAGCCACCCACUGUUGCUCCAUUCCACUUCUACUGAUACAAACACUGCCACUAAUACUGCCACUGCUACUGCCUCUCUAUUUCAUUGUCACCACUUUUCACUAACACCAGCAAUGCCUUUAGCACUACUACUGUUCUCCACUACAUAUCCACUGCCACUAGCAUUACAAUUCCACUGCUGCUAACACUACUGCUAGCACUACUCCAUUCUACUGCCAGUGCCAUUAAUACUGCAAAUCCACUUAACUGCUGCUAGAUAUUAGCACUACCACUCCACUCCAGUAUCACAACCUCAAAAACUGCCACUCCACUGCUGUCAAGGUUAUUGUUCACACUACCACUUCAUUCCAGUACCACAGCCUUUAACACUACUGCCACUGACACUGCCUCUAGCACAUCCAUUCAAUGCACUGCCAUUCCCAAGCACUGCCACUCCACUGCCACUAGCACUGUCACUCCAUUCUACAUGACAGCACAGUGAUCAACAGGCCCACAGACAUGUACAAAACAAGACCUACAGCUUUAGAGCAAAUGUUUGGACAGAGAAAGGGUAAAAUAUCAUUUAAGAUUGCAUGCACUGCAUUAUGCAGAAUCAAUUAAAUAUAAAACAGGUUUUCAGAUAAAAAAUAUAUAUUUUUGUGAUUUUUUUUUACCACCACUCAAGUUGUUUUUGGUAGGUACUUGAGUCAUUACUUCACUCAAAUAAGAAUACUUUUAUUGAGUUGAGGUUUUAGGCUACUUUGUCCACUUGUGUUUAUAAAGAACUGCCUGAGAUUGCAAGACUCCUAGGAGUACAUGAGGCCCUCUCUGAGACUGCUGGGUGAAUUUCCCACUAUUCUGCCAGUGGAUUGCCACACACCAUUCUGAGGUUAGAUGUAGACAGAGAGGUGAACCUAACAAACAACCAACUGAUCAUCGGCCCACUGAGUUUUAUAUGAGCUGAGUGUAAUAGUAAUCCACACAGAUUGCAUAAUGGCAGUGCGGCACUGAUUUCCACAUUUGGUGGGCUUUUACAUUGGUCUAGUAAUCACUUGCAGAGACUUAAAAGUUGUACGGCACACCGCUAAAGCUCAAAAGCAGCUGUGGUGGGCCAAAUAAAAAGCCAUGGAAGGAUAUGUUAUUAGCCACUGGGAGGUUAACAGGCCUUGUACUGGUACUGGCUGCUGUGGAAAAGCUCAGACUGGAGCUUUUGAUUCAGCGCUCAGGGCACGAAAGCCUGUGUGUUCACCAUCAAGAAAGAAAGAGGUUUAUUUACAAAACUAAAGCAGAAGCUUACACAAUUUGUAUUAUAUCAGAAGCAAAACAAACCAUCUUUAGUCACUCUUUAUUUGAAGUGUCUGUGAUCUAUGAGGCAUCAGGCCUAUUUCUUUAAUGGAUCACACAGUAACUUUGCUUGUUAUAAUAAGCAUUUAUUAUUUAACUGAAUUUGAAAGGAAAAUGUAAAUGGGGAGACCAGUAAACCAACACUAGCAUGAAAAAGAAAUAUACAAGCAAAAUAGAAAUAAACCCCUUAAACUGCAGGCUUAUUAUUCAGUAACUGCUAUGAAUUAACUGCGAUGAAAUGAACUAUGAUGCAGUUAUGAACGUGGACUAAUGACGUGUAGCCAUAUGGUUUGAAGGUGUUAAACUAGAAUUUCAGCAAUCAUUCAUUUUUAUGACCAGUUCCCAUUUCUGUCAUACUUCAUUGGAAAUGUGUUACAUAACAUUGACAUGACUAUACCUUAAACAUGUCAUGCCAGAUGUCAUAUGCUAUGAUAAGGUGUCUUGCCAAAUUUUGUUCAGUAAGAUAUCAGUGUCAUGAUACUAUUGUCAUCACAUAUUUCACUGUUUUUGUCAUAGUGUCACAUGACAUAAGCUGUAACUGCUUAAAUUCUUGUAAUUACAUUACAUUAGAGACAUAUUGAGAAUGCCAUUUUAUUUUAUUAUUAUCUCUAAGAGAAGAAUACUGCACAAAGUUCCUCUACAUAGAUUAUCUGUGCAACUGUGAACAGCACAACACAAGCACAGGAAGCACCGUAAAGUUGGUGAGCAACCUGCAAAAGCAUCAAAUCAUGCUAAUAUGAAAUGAAUGGAUAAGAAUCCCUGAACACCAGAGAACCCCAACAUCACCUAAACAAACCAGACUUCGUUCAGGAACAGAUCUGUAAGCUUUACAUUUUACUCCUAAAGAAGGACGUUUCUGAACUGUUUCUAUGAUUUUCAAAAAACAACUGGCUGUGUCUUGGUCAAAGGCAGGGACACUCACAAGCCUUAAAAACUGUGUUUACUAUGACUGGCUAUUUUUCUAAAUACAUUACUGAAAAUGACUACUGAGAUUUCCACUGUACCAUUGAUGCAGAUGUGUCUGGGAUUUUACAGAGUAAUACAGAAGACAAGUAAGGAAUGACCCUCAGCAGGUAGCAAAAACAAGGGACUGAAAGAGUAAAUAUAAAUCUGUAGUAAUACAAGUAUAACAAAGAAAGUGUAAUAACAGAAAAAUUACAGAAUUACUACUGUACAGAUGUCAAGAUGAUGUUUCGGACUUUAAAGCAAAUUGGAAAUGUAUGAUUGCAUGGAACAACAUCAGUUGUGCUUUGGACCCCUUCCGUGAGUGGAUAAAUGCGAUGUUGGCGAGUGUGUUGAAAGAGUAUUCAAAGCUAGGUCAAAACUUUGUGUAGGAUGUGCCAUCUGAAAAAGUAAAUUAUCUACUAUUGUCAUUGUAUCAUCAAAAUAAUGCUGAUUUUGCAUUUGAGACCUUCUUUUUCAUCCUGUGCAUGUGGCAUUAAUAUGUAAAGAUGUAUGACAUGGUCUGAAAAACUCCUGCAGCUUUUAAGUGUUUUUUUUCAGGUUUUACAGAGUAACUCGCAGCAUGUUAUAAGCAGGUAAAAUUAUUAAGGAGAAUGGAAGGAGUAAAUGUUAAGUAAUAAUGUAAUGACGAUAAAAUAGUGAAGACAGUUAAAAGAACAACAAUAAAAAAUCAACUAAGAAACAACUAAAAUAAAUUAAAAGCUAAAGAAACUAAAGGCAAAAUCAACUAAAACAGCUGCAAGUGGCAAUGAUUACAGAGUUUAAAUAAAUUAAAUAAAAAUAUAAAAUGGUUGAGUGCUGGUGCACUGUAAAAGCAGAUUUUCCCAGUUCAGUAAAAGCUCUAAGCAUUUAAAGGGUGAUACAGUCACUGGAACCAGUUUGAUCAUUUUCAUCAUUCACAGUGAAAACUGACAUUAUGACAAUGACAGCGUUACAAUAUUUUUAGCCUUCACUGGACAGUGAACCACCCCCCUUAUUGAACUUCAUGCUUAUUUCAGAGGAAUAAUGUAGGAAAAACGACAGCCUUCUUUUUUUUACUCAAAUAUUAACUGUGCGGCGGUUCAAUGAUGCAGUAUGUGUUAUAAAAGGAAGCCUGCCGAGCUCUGCAGCUUUAUUAAAAACUGACUAAACAUAAGUUAUAUUAUGACAGCACUAUUCGUGAACAGAGUCCAGCACUAAAGGCAGCGCUGAGAAGUCAUUCCAGAGAAGGUGUGAGUCAGAGGGGCGGGCUGAGAUGCACUGAGGUCAGGGGCUGGUGGAGCUGUGAUUGAAUUAGAGUGGGUAAAGAGAGAGGGGCAGGCUCAAAGUCAGGACAGAAAGCUUUCUGUGCCCUGCCUGCAGACAGGAAACUACCAGCUUCACUCGCAUUAAGCCUGCUUCCUCUCUUUCCACUCUCACCUCCCCACGACCCUCUGACCCAAUGGCCUUCGUUCUGAAUAUGGCACUGAUCCAACAAAGAGGCCUAGCAGAGAUAAUGCACACACAAACAUGCUUUUUUUGAAGCAACUUUCAUUAUUCCACUGUAACUUUGUAUAGUUUUAUUCUACUGUACUACCCAUCUGUGUUUAUAAAGAGCUGCCCAAGUUUACAAAGCUGUAUAAAUAUGCAUACGCUGCCUGUCAAAAGUUUGGAGACACCUUACUUUUUAAAAAGUAAGUGGUCUUAGCUAGAUAAUGACCCAAAAGGUUGUGUGGGGGGUUUAUCAUGCCUAAACGUCCAUAUUUGUAGUAAUGUUAAUGCUGUUUAUAUAAAAUGUGAAUGAAUAGUGUGACACUCAAAUUCUAAAUUUUUCUCCAAUUCCAAUAGACUUUACAGAUGCACUUUUGUGCAGUGUCUAUAUUAACUGUGUUUUAUGUGGCCAUUCUUUCCUUCCAAAUCUUUCCUUCCUCCGAGUUACUGACUGUCCACCGGUCCGGCCCAAUACUGAUGGAUGUUCCACCCUCAAGUCCCCCUGUCCCCCUGAUUGACCAGACUGAGGGAAGU